rnacentral:lncRNA from 1 species
AGGUCUCUGGUGACCAGCCCUCUGCCCUGCUGCCCUGCCCUACCAACCUGGUUCUCUGACUUUGCGGAAAAUAUUUUCGGGGAAGCUAUGCUAGUGGCAUUUGGUCUUGCCACUUGGGUCUCGUACCCUCUUAGAUGUACCACCUAAGAUGUCUUGCCUGUGGCCUGCCAAAGGCUCAAAGAGCUAAGGGGGUAGUACACUCCUGUGGAGACACUCCCCCUGUCUCUUAGAGAAUGCUGCUCAGCCAGUUUUCACAGGGUUGGGUGCUUCCUUGAGGUAGAUCUUAGCCUAGUUUCUUGAAGGGAGGGUUUACUUCCUGUCCCCAGGCCAUUUUCUCUGGAGCUGGCCUUGAUAGCAGCUGCUUUUGGACAGAAUUGCAUUCCAGCAGUGGCUUACUCUUGGCUUCACAUCUGGACUUGCUGCCUCCUGCACUGGUGGGUACAAGUAUAAGAUAUGGGGGUAGCUAUGGGAGUCAGGUGGGGGCUAGACACUGCUCUCCCUUGUCAUCCGCUCUCUUAAGAGGGGAGUGACAUGGGGUUACUGUAAUUAAAGUGGGAGAGAGAUGGUCCUUUAUAAAAUUACCCAGAGGAGGGCCUUGUGUGGUAGAUACUUUAUCAAUUGUUAUAGGAAACCUCGUUCUACUCUUGUUUUACUGGGGUUGGGCACCGCCCCAGAUAGGAGAUGUAGGAAGACAUUGUACUUCCUACACCAAGAGCCCUGGAAGCACAAGGUGCAGUAGGUCUCCCUGGCCUUGACUUGGUAAAAUCCCCAGAUUGUCCUGGAAAUGAGACAUCCCACAAGUCUUUGGGAGCUCUGGGCAGGAAAUACUGACUUGGCUGUGGUAGUGUAGGACCAAGGGACAGCCUAUACAAAGGGUUUGCAGCCCUUAGACAGGUUUUGGGGCUUGUGAGAGCCAAUCCAACCUCCAGGCCUAAGCACCUGUGAGGAAGAGCCAUGAAUCUGACCUACCUGAAGUAUACUAAGCAUCUCCCCUGCAAAUGGGUCCUCAGAGCUGAAAGUGAAGCUGUUGAUGCCAUAGCUAGGACUUGGCCUCCUGACUGAGAGGACACCCUUAUGUGGCUCCAUGCAGAAUCUAAUGGAAGUGUCAUCCUGUCUUCUCAUGCUUGCCCUGGGUGGAUACCCCCCAGCUGUCCUCAACAAACACACCAAGGCUGGGGACAUGCUAAUGCAGCUUGAUAAUUAAUACUUUGUCUUUUAGAGCAGUGGCAGUCCCAUUCCUUGAGGCCAGAUCUAGGCCACUGUCCCAUUUAAAAGUGGAACAGUUCCCUGAUGAAAAUAAAGGAGGUACUGGCUGGUAGGUCAUGGAGUUGGGAAGGCAUAGCUAUGCUCCUGGGUUAAGAGGAUGGGAGAACCUAUCUCUCAAAUCUUGUGGUCUUUACUGUCCCCUGCCUCUUCUGCCUCCUGUUGGAGGCUGAUGUGGUUACACUAAUUCAUGUAGCAGUGAGACAAUGUCUGGGGCAGGGACCUCUGAGAAUCACUACUUGCUGUGCCCAACCUCCUAAAGCAACCUGACUCAAAGCACAGGUCAACGGGUGUUUGCUGGGCACACAGAGGAGUAAAAGAAUGAGCAAGUGGAGUAUUCUCUAGAGUAGCGGCAAAGCGAGGACAGCACUUGAGGUAACUCAAGCCUAACACCCAGGGUGGGGGGCCGUGCUGGAGUACAGCCUAUGCAACCAGAAUGUGAACAAAGACUGGAUCCACCUGUGUUGGCAUUCCUUGGUGUCCCUGCUUCACCACAUGCUAAUUAUGCUGGUGUACUCUGGGCUAGAUGGGGGAGACCUGAGAGGGACCAGCCUCCUUCACUCAGAGAAGACCUGGUUCCCGUGUCCUUGGCCAAGUUGCUUGGGUGGAAUAAUUGCUUUUGUAGAGGGCUGGCCAAGACAGAGAACAACUAGUCCUCUCUAGGGCUGCUGCUGGAUUCCCAUUCUAUUCUCUCAGUGGCCCCUGAUUGUCAGACUCCAGAAGGAAGGCAUGUAGAACCUUUUACCCAGCUGCCUACAUACAUGUGGACUUGCCAACUGCCAGCGUUGCUGGAGAUGCUGGGGUCUAUAGUUGUGCCUGAAAGGCCAGCAGAAAGAAGGUGGGUUUCAAGAGGCACACAUGAACAGCUAUGUGGUAAGCCACACAAUCUUACACAGGAGGAUCAGGAAUGGAAGAACAUUGUUGUCUACAUAGUGUUUUGGGCCAUCGUACGAUACAUGAGACUGUCUCAAAACAAGCAGAGCCAUACUGAUGCCAGCUUCUCAAGGUGAGAGGACCCCGUAGGCCAACUAAGAGCUGGUAGUCAAGUGGCUCAUGGUGUGUGUAGUGGGGUUAAGGUAGGGGUCAUCAUCUCUCAAGCCUCAGGUGGCCCUUAGCCAGGACAGAGGCUCCUGAGCACACCAAAGGGCUCUCUCCUCCUCGAUAGCAGACAUGAUUGGGGUUUUGUCGCAUGGAGAGUUCCUGGAGUCAUUGUUCUUUCUUCUUUGUUCUGCAUACUUACCAAAUAAGAAAGAAUAUGCUGUCCCCACCCUCCCAAGAGACCCUAUGCUCAAAGAAAGUGUCCCCAGUGAGCGAGCACAAAGGCAGGAGGAGGAUGUGCUCUGGGCAGGAUUGGCAAGAAGGGUAGGUGAGGACUAUAGGAACUGUGGGGCAAGCAGCACCCAAGCCCAUGCACGUCCCUAGUACCUUCCUGGAGGAGCAGGUAAUCUUCCUGUAGGCAGAUGGGCAGCCCCUGAAUAUAUUUCCUGCUUUCAUAGUAAAUGUGGGAAAGACCCUGUGGUGAACAAUUUUUGCCCCAUGGGCAUUUGUGCUAAGCCUAACUCAAUACUCUUUCCUCCCUCUCCCCAACUCAGUGUUUGGGUAUGAGAGAGAAGCACCAGAAAUGCUGGGGUACAUUUCUUUUCUUUUUUUUUUUUUAAGAUUUAUUUAUUUAUUAUAUGUAAGUACACUGUAGCUGUCUUCAGACACUCCAGAAGAGGGCGUCAGAUCUUGUUACAGAUGGUUGUGAGCCACCAUGUGGUUGCUGGGAUUUGAACUCUCCGGACCUUCAGAAGAGCAGUCGGGUGCUCUUAUCCACUGAGCCAUCUCACCAGCCCUGGGGUACAUUUCUUACGGGAGGCUCCCAUGUUGCCAGGGCUUGUCAGUUUGAGGGUUGCUGUGGCACUGACAACCACAGGAGACACAGGUGACUGGGUGACUGUUGUAACAUGGGACUGAUGGAUAGGAGCAUGUUUUGCUAGGCACCCUGCCACCAACAUUUCACUGUAGUUAGAAUUCUGGAAUCUUGAUUUCUUAAAAAAAAAAAAACAUAGAAAUAUAAUAAUAUUAUUUCACUCUAAUCCCAGGUGUGGGGAUGUGGGGAUAUGGGGCUGUUUUGCAGCAGCUGACUAUGAUUUGCCUCGUGCUCUAGCAAAGACGGGGUUUUGCCAACUGCAGAUAGUUUCUGCAACAUUUGGAAUUCUGGGAACUUUUCAGAGGGUAUGUAAGUGUUAGAGCCCCUACAGGCAUUGUUGGGGAAUGGAGAUUGCAGUUUGACAGUAGUCAUGAUCCAAAAACAAAAAAACAAGGUGAAGCCUGGCAUGGUGGCACACGCCUUUAAUCCCAGAACUUGGGAGGCCGAGGCAGGCGGAUUUCUGAGUUCCAGGACAGCCAAGGCUAUACAGAGAAACCCUGUCUCGAGGGAAAAAAAGGGGGAGGGAAUUAGAUUCAGAUCUCUGCCAGUUCCCCUUCCCUCACAUCCCUGCCUUCCACACUCUCUCUCUCUCUCCCCCCUCUAUUCUUUCCUGUUUAGUGAUAUGGAGUAAAACUGGUGGGGGCGCGGAUAAAGGGUAGAAAAACAAAGAACCUAUAAAGUAGC